rnacentral:rRNA from 1 species
UACGGAGGGAGCUAGCGUUGUUCGGAAUUACUGGGCGUAAAGCGCGCGUAGGCGGCUUUGUAAGUUAGAGGUGAAAGCCCGGGGCUCAACCCCGGAACUGCCUUUAAAACUGCAUCGCUUGAAUCCGGGAGAGGUGAGUGGAAUUCCGAGUGUAGAGGUGAAAUUCGUAGAUAUUCGGAAGAACACCAGUGGCGAAGGCGGCUCACUGGACCGGCAUUGACGCUGAGGUGCGAAAGCGUGGGGAGCAAACAGGA